GUCAUGAAAGCUUUAGAUAAAUCAGCAUCAAUCCUUUUAUCCAUGGGCUCCUUAAGGGAAGCAUUGCUAUCAAUUGGUAGCGUGGAUCUUUUAGCAACCUUAAUGAUAGGAGCAUCAACCUUGGGGACCGUAGUCCACAAUCUGGCAUCCUCCUCUUUAAUCGGAUAUAACUUCGAAAGCCGACCCUGACUAGUAAUCCUCUUACUAGGAAUUUGCCACUCGUUCCUCAUC
rnacentral:lncRNA from 1 species